rnacentral:rRNA from 1 species
GACGAACGCUGGCGGCGUGCUUAACACAUGCAAGUCGAAUGGAAAGGCCCUGCUUUUGUGGGGUGCUCGAGUGGCGAACGGGUGAGUAACACGUGAGUAACCUGCCCUUGACUUUGGGAUAACUUCAGGAAACUGGGGCUAAUACCGGAUAGGAGCUCCUGCUGCAUGGUGGGGGUUGGAAAGUUUCGGCGGUUGGGGAUGGACUCGCGGCUUAUCAGCUUGUUGGUGGGGUAGUGGCUUACCAAGGCUUUGACGGGUAGCCGGCCUGAGAGGGUGACCGGCCACAUUGGGACUGAGAUACGGCCCAGACUCCUACGGGAGGCAGCAGUGGGGAAUAUUGCACAAUGGGCGGAAGCCUGAUGCAGCAACGCCGCGUGCGGGAUGACGGCCCUCGGGUUGUAAACCGCUUUCGCCUGUGACGAAGCGUGAGUGACGGUAAUGGGUAAAGAAGCACCGGCUAACUACGUG